rnacentral:rRNA from 1 species
UACAGAGGCCUCGAGCGUUAAUCGGAAUCACUGGGCUUAAAGGGUGCGUAGGCGGCGCUGCAAGUGCCUUGUGAAAUCCCACGGCUUAACCGUGGAACUGCUCGGUAGACUGCAGCGCUUGAGGUUGGUAGGGGCUGCCGGAACUCUAGGUGGAGCGGUGAAAUGCGUAGAUAUCUAGAGGAACGCCCAAGGCGAAGGCAGGCAGCUGGGCCAAUUCUGACGCUGAGGCACGAAAGCGUGGGGAGCAAACGGG